rnacentral:rRNA from 1 species
GAUGAACGCUGGCGGCGUGCCUAAUACAUGCAAGUCGAGCGAACGGACGAGAAGCUUGCUUCUCUGAUGUUAGCGGCGGACGGGUGAGUAACACGUGGAUAACCUACCUAUAAGACUGGGAUAACUUCGGGAAACCGGAGCUAAUACCGGAUAAUAUUUUGAACCGCAUGGUUCAAAAGUGAAAGACGGUCUUGCUGUCACUUAUAGAUGGAUCCGCGCUGCAUUAGCUAGUUGGUAAGGUAACGGCUUACCAAGGCAACGAUGCAUAGCCGACCUGAGAGCGUGAUCGGCGACACUGGAAGUGAGACACGGUCCAGACUCCUACGGGAGGCAGAAGUAGGGACGCGUCCGCAAAGGGCGAAAGCCUGACGGAGCAACGCCGCGUGAGUGAUGAAGGUCUUCGGAUCGUAAAACUCUGUUAUUAGGGAAGAACAUAUGUGUAAGUAACUGUGCACAUCUUGACGGUACCUAAUCAGAAAGCCACGGCUAACUACGUG